GUUUUCUCUAAUACAAAGCUUUUGUUAGCAAUUCUCUUGUGUUCUUUAUAUAAUUCUCUUAACGAUAUUGAGUGUAGUAAGAAUGACUUGGCAUAGCAAGAACGUGAGUAAGUUUUGCAAAAUCGUGAGCGAGUUAUCAAGUGCAUGUGUACUUAGCUAACGACUAAAGACGCGAGUUAUCAAGUGCAUAUGUACUUAGCUAACGACUAAAGACGUGACAGUAAGCUACGGUUCGACGGAAUGGUAAUAUUUCUCGAGGCUAAAAUGAGUGUGUUAUGUGGUGGUUAACAUAUGAAAGAGAAGCUCUAAUAAAAGGUGAAAUCGGAGAGGAUGGGGAUGGUUGCCAUGGAUUCUGGGAGUUUUAAUUUGAAAGGAUUUGCUGACUAGAAUAUUGAUAUGCACAAAAUAUUAGAGGAGUCAGUUGCUACAAUAGAGGACCAUUAGGGCUAAGGGCAAUUUUGAUAAGUUUGUUAAUGGUGUGGGUUGAUAUGAAAGAUAAAUAUAAUGAAGACGAAUAUAAACAAUAUACCGUAAUAGUAAAGGAUUAUAUUCGGACCUUUCCCCGAAUAAAAAUAUUUUCCUUGUUGACUAAA
rnacentral:lncRNA from 1 species